rnacentral:lncRNA from 10 species
UUUAAUCUGGGUGAGCACAAUCAGAUCAACUGCUAGAGCAGCUAGAAUAUAAAGCAGGGAGAGAAAUGUGAAAGACUAGACUGGCCUAGCCUGCCAGCCUACAUCUUUCUCCCAUGCUGGAUGCUUUCUGCUCUCGAACAUCGGACUCCAGGUUCUUCAGUUUUGGGACUUGGAUUGGCUCUCAUUGCUCCUCAGCUUGCAGACGACCUAUUAUGGGACCUUGUGAUCAGGGCUUCUUGGAGAGAAGAAAAAUACUGCGCUAGACAAACUAAAUUUCAGUGAAAAAUAAUUGACUGAGGAAAGUGGUGAGGAUCCUGCAACAACAUACUGCAUUAAUGGCUUCCUCUCACCUCAAAAUGCAACUUCAAUUUCUAGCGAUACAAGAGCUCAAGAAAAUACUAUGAAUAAAAUAAAAAGGAGGCCUCUGUUUCACUGAAAACGUCUCCCUCAUGAAGAGAUAUCAUUACACCAAUUUUGAGUUUUAUUAUUCUCAUUCAUGUCUUCAUAUAUGUAUAGAAUGUGCAUAUCCUAUUAUAUCUCAGUACAAAAUUGUCAAAAUUGAAUAUAUUAAUUGCAAAAUUCUCUAUAUUCUUACACAAGCCUUCCUUUUCACUAAAUUUUUGUUAGAUUGAUCCUUGUUAAUAAUGUAGUGCUAAUGCAUUGGUAAUCACUGUUGAAUUCUAUUCGAUUUUAUGAGUAGAUAGCACCAUAUGCAUUUCCCUGUGGAUGAAUGUUAUUAUGCAAAGAGUGAUUAGACACUGUGUGUGUCCCUAAUUUUAAAAACAAAUGAACAGUUUAUACUGGUUGAAUUAAUUAGAGCUAGAUAAUUUAUGUUAUUGUUAAUGUUAGUCAUCAUGUUUUUGAAUGAAAUCAAUAUCUUACAUAAACCUAGACUAUGAUAAUGAGUGUAUAUAUGAAAACUCAUGGCAAAAUUCAACAUUUCAUAGAUUUUCUCGUAUAUAUAGUGUUCAGUUUUAUAUUUAAGUCUAAAAUUCAUUUUGAAUUAAUUUUUGUAUAAAGAAAGUCAUAAAUUAAUCUUUUUGUUUGUGGAUAUUUGUUUCACCACCAUCAGCUGAAUAAACAAGUUUCUUCA